rnacentral:rRNA from 1 species
AACCAAGAAGACUAAGUUAUAUUUCUACGGUAAAAAGACAGUUAGGUUAAAUUAUAAGUUUUGUUAAUAUAUAUAAAAAGGUAGAAUUUGGAUAUAUGUAUGAAAUUUAAUAAAAACUUUAGUACUGAAGCUGUGAUAGCCCAGAGGGAAACUGGGAUUAGAUACCCCAUUAUUCUUGGUCAUAAAAUAAUUUAAAUUUACCGGAGCACUACGAACUAAAAAGUUUAAAACUCAAAGGGCUUGGCGGUGUUUUAGACCUCUUAGGGGAACCUGUCUCAUAAUCGACAAUCCACGUUAAACCUAACUUCUUUUUGUGCUCAGUAUGUAUACCAUCGUCGUCAGGUAACUUUUAAAAAGUGAGCAGUUAGCUAACAAACUAUUUAAGUUUAAACGUCAGAUCAAGGUGCAGUCAAUAAAGAAGUGAAGAUGGGUUACAAUUAUAAAAUUAUAAAUACGGAAUAGUUAAAUGAACAAAUAACUACGAAGGAGGACUUAAAAGUAAACUGAAUUAUAUAAACAUAUUGAAUUAGGCUCUGAAACGUGCACACAUCG